rnacentral:misc_RNA from 1 species
UCCUACAGAACCGAUUGACCUCAUGCCUGACGUCUCCUUUCCUCCGUCUGCGUUUAAGAAAUGGCGGCGAGCUCAGGGAGUGCUGGUGACUGGUGUCUAAUUGAAAGCGACCCUGGAGUCUUUACUGAACUAAUCAAAGGAUUUGGUGUGAAAGGGGUUCAAGUUGAAGAGCUGUGGAGCUUGGAUCGCGAGAGUUUUGAUAAACUGAAGCCUGUUCAUGGGCUUAUAUUUCUCUUCAAGUGGUACAGAAACGAUGAACCAAGUGGCUCCAUUGUGCAAGACAACCGCCUGGAGAAAAUAUUUUUUGCCAAACAGGUGAUCAACAAUGCCUGCGCUACACAGGCAAUACUGAGUGUCCUGCUUAAUGUAAAGCAUCCCGACAUAUUUCUCGGUGACACGUUGAACUCUUUCAAAGAUUUUUGUCAGAGCUUUGAUGCCACGAUGAAAGGCCUUACCCUGAGUAACUCUGACGUUAUACGAGAAGUGCACAACAGCUUUUCAAGACAGCAGAUGUUUGAGUUCGAUAUAAAGCAAAGCUCAAAGGAUGAUGAUGUUUAUCACUUCAUUGGCUAUGUGCCAAUUGAUGGACGCCUGUAUGAACUGGAUGGUCUGAAAGAAGGACCCAUUGACCUUGGUCCGAUUCCACAAGGCACUGACUGGAUUGACACAGUCAGGCCAGUCAUUGAAAGCAGGAUAAAACAAUAUAAUGAAGGGGAAAUUCACUUCAACCUGAUGGCACUUAUCACAGACAGAAAGCUCCUAUACCAGAAGCAGUUGGACAGCAUGAAUGCCCAGUUGUCUUCUGGUGGAAUGGAAACUGAUGAUGUCCAGUCUGAGAUAAGCAAGCUCCACAUGCUCAUCCAAGAAGAAGAGAAUAAGUGCAAGCGGUACAAGGUGGAGAACAUCAGAAGGAAGCACAACUAUUUGCCACUCAUCAUGGAGAUUCUGAAAAUCCUGUCAGAAGAGAAGAAGCUUGUGCCUCUAGUAGAAAAGGCAAGGGAAAAAGCCUUAGAGAAGAAGAAACAAGGUGAAAAAAUGAAAUGUUUUGUGGGAAGGUGCGGGGAGGCGUAACAAUGAAACACUCUUGCUUUAAUGUAAAGCACAUUGACAAGGUCAUGGGCGGUGGCACAAUGCUCCAAGAUCCGCUUGCUGGCUUCCAUUGCACACCACGGUGGUUACUGCUGGGAUUGCCCACUCAGCAAGUCAAUAGAACAAGAGGGAAAUCUUGUA